CAGGCAGUAGCAUCGUUUCACAAUGUUUCCAUCACCAUCAUCAGUGGAUGCCUUUGCUGUCCGUAGCCUGAGAUUUCAGAUUUGCAGCAAAAUUUUUUUGAUUUUCUCAUUUAUUGGAAUGCUGUGCAGGUAUUUGUACCUUGCAGCCAUCCAUUACAAUGUCACCAAGCCGUAACAAAAGCAGGAGAGGGAAAGUACAAGGCUAUGUUCCCAAAACACACAAGUGACAUACCUUAUGUGGAGGAUGUGAUCAGGCUUGUGUUUGAUGAGGUAUUUGAAGAUAAGCUGAAGGAAGCCCUGAUUCCAAUGGACCUGGCAUCACAGUUUGAGAGACCUUCAAAUGAGGACGUGAUUGCAUGCCAUCUUCAGUGCAGGGGUCGUCGAAAGCCAAAAUUGUGACCGAUCUGAUCAGGAAGCUCCAAGCGUAUCUGGAGAACAACACACAACAGGAUGAUAACCUUAUAGUGUCGUCUUAAAUAGCACCAGCUGACAAAGCUUUGA